rnacentral:rRNA from 1 species
GGACGAACGCUGGCGGCGUGCUUAACACAUGCAAGUCGAACGGAAAGGCCCUGCUUGCAGGGUACUCGAGUGGCGAACGGGUGAGUAACACGUGGGUGAUCUGCCCUGCACUUCGGGAUAAGCCUGGGAAACUGGGUCUAAUACCGGAUAGGAGCCAUUUUUAGUGUGAUGGUUGGAAAGUUUUUUCGGUGUAGGAUGAGCUCGCGGCCUAUCAGCUUGUUGGUGGGGUAAUGGCCUACCAAGGCGGCUACGGGUAGCCGGCCUGAGAGGGUGGACGGCCACAUUGGGACUGAGAUACGGCCCAGACUCCUACGGGAGGCAGCAGUGGGGAAUAUUGCACAAUGGGCGCAAGCCUGAUGCAGCGACGCCGCGGGGGGGAUGACGGCCUUCGGGUUGUAAACUCCUUUCGCUAGGGACGAAGCUUUUUGUGACGGUACCUAGAGAAGAAGCACCGGCUAACUACGUG